rnacentral:rRNA from 1 species
GACGAACGCUGGCGGCGUGCUUAACACAUGCAAGUCGAACGGUAAGGCCCUUUCGGGGGUACACGAGUGGCGAACGGGUGAGUAACACGUGGGUGAUCUGCCCUGCACUUUGGGAUAAGCCUGGGAAACUGGGUCUAAUACCGGAUAGGACUACGCGAUGCAUGUCGUGUGGUGGAAAGCUUUUGCGGUGUGGGAUGGGCCCGCGGCCUAUCAGCUUGUUGGUGGGGUGAUGGCCUACCAAGGCGACGACGGGUAGCCGGCCUGAGAGGGUGUCCGGCCACACUGGGACUGAGAUACGGCCCAGACUCCUACGGGAGGCAGCAGUGGGGAAUAUUGCACAAUGGGCGCAAGCCUGAUGCAGCGACGCCGCGUGAGGGAUGACGGCCUUCGGGUUGUAAACCUCUUUCAACGCCGACGAAGCGGAAGUGACGGUAGGCGUAGAAGAAGCACCGGCCAACUACGUGCCAGCAGCCGCAGUAACAC